CGUGGGUGGCAAGCGUUGUCCGGAAUUAUUGGGCGUAAAGCGCGCGCAGGCGGUUCCUUAAGUCUGAUGUGAAAGCCCCCGGCUCAACCGGGGAAGGUCAUUGGAAACUGGGGAACUUGAGUGCAGAAGAGAAGAGCGGAAUUCCACGUGUAGCGGUGAAAUGCGUAGAGAUGUGGAGGAACACCAGUGGCGAAGGCGGCUCUUUGGUCUGUAACUGACGCUGAGGCGCGAAAGCGUGGGGAGCAAACAGGAUUAGAUACCCUGGUAGUCCACGCCGUAAACGAUGAGUGCUAAGUGUUAGAGGGUUUCCGCCCUUUAGUGCUGCAGCUAACGCAUUAAGCACUCCGCCUGGGGAGUACGGCCGCAAGGCUG
rnacentral:rRNA from 1 species